GUUUUACUUACUCAUGAGCUCUCAUCUUUUUAAUUAAAGCACAACAUCCUGCUCAAAACAAGCCUUUGGAACAACAAAGUCAACAGAACCUUAAUUUGGGAAUUUGCUAACUGAUCUUGAUGACUGUGGGCAGGUUACAGCAGCAGUGGACAGGCAGACGACGGGGCGAAGGUCUCCCAGGCGGUUGCCGGUGUUUCCAAAGACGCGUCUUUGCCUGAGGACUCAGGUGGAGAGGGGGGGCCUGAGAGACCAAGGAGGAGCCUUUAAAUACGUAGAAGUUGGCCAGACAGGGUAGGCCUGAGCAAAUGGCUUUUUCGGCAGCUGAAGCCCUCAGCAGCUGUCAGAACAACUGCCACCAAGCCCUCCUGGUUGCCGGGAGGGCUGCAGCAUGAACUGGGGCCUUUCCCCUCAGUCUCUUCGCCGUGAGCUGAUCUGCUGGGACUGCCUUGUAGACCCUCAGGUUAAUGACAGCCCACCUCACUACCUGGUUUUAGCAUAGCUGGCAGCAGCUGCCUAGCUACACACUAUCUGAUCCAAGCCUCUAAAUUUCCUGGCUCUUGAGAUUCUGCACCUUGUCACCAGCAUCACCAGCCACCCAGCCAGAAGCAACAAUUAACCGCCACAGGAAUGCUUUGAGAAGCCAGUAUCCAAGGUUACCGAUAAUGCAAGUUUGGAAACUGAAACAGGAAGGAAUGCAGGCUGAAAAAGCUUUUAUCCAGCCCACAGCGGUUCUCUCUCCAGAUGCAAGUUGCAGGUCCUUCUAGUUGUGCUAUGUGGGACGCCGCCACAGCGUGGCCUGAUGAGCGGUGCCAUGUCUGCGCCCAGGAUCAAAACCGGCGAAAGCCUGGGCCAUGAAGUGGAGCGUGCGAACUUAACCACUCGGCCACAGGGCCGGCGCCAGGAAGAACUUCUGAAGCUAACAAAUAAACAAACAGCACAAUGACAUCAAGAGAGAGAGAAAGAAAGGGUAGUGUCUGAGAUGUGAACGUGGGCAUUGCCUUCUGGGGGAAUGGCCGCUCUUGGCAUGGUUAAAAUGUAAAACAUCCAUCCCAGCUAUAUGAUAUAUAUAGAUAUAUAUCUAUAUCUUCAGAUAGAUUCUUUAUCUCUGGACCCUGAUGAUAGGGGCUCAUCGUGAUCUGCUUUGUUCUUCCAGCUUAAAACUGUCACCAGGAGCCCCGGAUAAAAAAUACAGCCUCUGAUUCAUGCACAUAGUCAGGAAACAUCCCUUGUGCUCAGUACAGAAACAUGUCGGUCAACCUGGGAAAGGAAUCACCACCACGAAAUAUGCUUUUAGCUUGCCAAAGCUUAGCAGCUGCAAGAGCCAAAAACCCAGCUGCCUGGACUGGUGGGGGAAGAAAGAGAGGCUUUCUAAAUCACCUAAUUUCUGCCUCCAACUCCUGUUUAAUUCCAAGCCAAAACUCACCUCGAAAUGUCUCAAGGGCCAACCGCUCCUAAAAAAUCGCGUUCAGCGCCACCCCUUCCAGUGCUGUGCCUGCCGGCCAGGUGAAGCAGAUGGCUUUUAUUGAUUAAUUUAUUUAUUUGGAAGGGGCUACUUGAAGUCAGGAAAUUCCAGCGAGACAGAGCGCGUCGCCCUGGCCAGAAUUGCCGUGACAAUCAUAAGCAGACACCCAGGGAGAGGCGCAUUAAAAGCAAUCACAGCGAAGUCCCAGGAAGCUGGGGCAUUUUCAGUCUCUCUCCUGUCCGGGCCUCCAUGUCAGCCGUGCACUUAGGAAGAAAUACUCAUUUGGUUCAACAUUCUGCUGUAUUAAAGGGUUCGUCUGAGCUAUGUUGGGCCUGCAUUGUCAAAAGGGCUCCACAAAUCAAACAUGCCUUGGACUUGGGCCUCCCCUUGAAGCCCUCCUUAUACAGACAGACCCAAACAGACAUUCCCACUACCUUAGGGCCCAGCACAGAAAGUCCUCUUUAAUAAACAUACCCCAUUUUUCAGUGGAACAGCCUCAAGGUGUCAAAAGUACAUAAAGGUCUGAAAGCUGAAACCCUAGAUAAACAGUGCGCCGAAAUAUAUUUAGCAAAAAAUAUUGAAAGCCACAGGAAAAAUAUGUUCUCUUCCUGGGAUGUUAACGAAGGUUUAGGUUCAGGAAACCUCCAGGAAAUAGCAAGUUGGGUUGAGAAGGAAUGCUGCUCAAUGUAAAUAAAUCGCUAAACCUCUUUGGCCUCCAUAGGCCUUGGCUGGAAUGGAGUAUUUCAUUUCUUCCCCAUUAACCAGGCCACCCGGAGAGUUGGCAUUAUAGACCUGAACACGUACCAAAUCUGAAUGUGCUGUUUUGUUUCUGUACAUUGAAUCAGACUGUGUUUCAAAUGGCAGCUUGUGCAAAACGGGGGGCCGGCCAUCCAGACUGGUGCACCUUCACUCUGGGUAAAUGACAGACCUGUUUCACCUCGGAUCACCCAGUGUCUUGUCUCCCACAGGAACAUCCCCUCUGUGGUUGUUACUCAGGGUGAUGUCAUGCUCACUCGAAAGCCCACGGUUCUGAGGGACUCGGUUGCCUCUGCUGCAAGAAGACGCCUUUAGAAAGACCCAGAUUUCCUGCAGGCUCAGGGUAGGGAGAGAGAGAACAAGAAAGGGCAGGCAACCACUCUCCCUAAGAUGGAGGCUGCAUGACGUAAGUGGCUGG
rnacentral:lncRNA from 1 species